AUGUAGUGCUGGCCUGUGCUUAGGGGUGUGUGCUCAGAAAUUAAUUUUACCUUCAUUUGGAUUUCUUUUCUUUCCUCUGAAGUAUCCACAUAAUAAUAUUUCAUAAAGAGAAAGCACGAUUGGAGGUACAGGGAGGGUGAAUGGUAAGUAGUUCCUCAAAUGACUGUUAAAUGAAUGUUAGUGUCAGAUAAAUUGGAUUUUUCUUAGGUUUAAAUAGACUGAAGGGAUUUGAUUUCUGAAGUAUGCCUAUUGUGCCCAGCAUGGAACAAAUUGCAACCACUGUUUUCCAUGAAAAUACUCUUGCCAGACUCUAAGUAGUGUAUUUUCUCUGACUAAAUUGGCGUGUCCAUGAGAACAGCAGAAAGCCUAAAUAAUUUAUAAGUGAAGUUUGUCUUCAACUGAUAAAGUUCAGUAGUAUUUGUCAAUUGCCAUACCCUCACUCGAUGUCUUGCCCACUGUUCCCAAUCUCUUUGGCAUUGAGUUUUCCAUGUUUUCCUCCUCCUCUCAGACUCAGGUAGAGUUCUUCUGAUUGAGUAAUACCAGCUCAAGCUAGUGUUUAGUGGAUGAGGCUAUGGAAGGAGAACUUUAAGACAAGGUGUGCUUCUUCAAACUUUCCAAAUAAGUAUUUUUAGGCAAAACAGGUAUUUUAAGCUAUGUUUGGCACAUUUUAGAUUCUCAAUAAAUAUUUGUUGAAGGAACAAAUGUAAGAAGGGAGGAAUAAUCAUGAUGGGUCAUUAGGGGAGAUAUUUUGGGACAGAUGACCACUUCUGUGUACCUAUUCAGAGUGGGCUUUGUGUAAAUGCAAGCUCAGCUCCAUUGGUCCCCCUCACAAGAUUGAUGUAGUCAAAGUUUAGUUCCCUCUCCUGUCUGCUUAGAUCCGAGAGACACACUUGCAGUCAUUUCAUUCGGGUUUAGCAUGGGAAUGUGAUCUUCCUGAUUUCCUAUCCUUAAUUAUUUACAGAUCCUAUUUUCUUAGAUGUUGUUUGUUUAAUGUCCUGUUUCAUGUCUUUGUAGUUGAAUAGACCCUUUUCCUGGGUUCUAGACCUGGUUCUGCCAGUUGCUUGUCAUGUGAUCUUGGGUUCUAUGGCUUGCACUGAAAAAUCUUACUGAUGGAACCCUGUACUCAGAAAUCAAGCCCAAGCUGCUAAUAUUUUUCGCCUGGAUUAUUGCAGUAGCCUGGGAGCUUUGCACUCACCAUUCUGUCUACCUGAAAUACUUUGUUGCAACAUAUUCUCAUGGGUAGUUCCCUUACUCAUGGGUUCUACUCAAACUCACCUGUUUGAAUGUUAUCAAGGAGAAGAUCUCUCAUUAACCCUAUGCAAAACAGCACCCCACCUAACACUCUUUAUCUGUCCCCUUUUGUUCUCUUUCAUUUUAUUUUCUCUAGCCCUUAUAUCUACUUGAGAUACAUUGAGAUUUAUUAUAAUCUGCUGGCACCAGUGGUAUGUAAACUCCAUGAGGGCUUCAUUACACUUUUAGUGACUUAUAUUUCCUGGAACCUAGUACAGUGCCUGGUACAUAUCAGGUACUCAGUAAAUAUUUAGUGAAUGGAUAAAGGAAUGCACUUAAAUUCUGCUCAGAUGUAAUUAUAAGAAUAAGCUAAACACAUGCUACAGUUAAGGCAUCCAUUUCCACCUGGAUCCACAUCCUUCCUAAUUUAUGUUCCUUAAUCUGAACCAGCGGCAACCCAUAUAUUUCUUUCAGUCUAGCUGUCAGUCUAAGGUAUGUGAUGCAGUGGAUUUCCAAGAGUGAUGAAAGAAGAAUUUGAUCUUGUUCACCACUACAAAAUGCGUAUUUAUUUCUCCUUUUAUAUUUUAAUUGUUUAAAUAUUUGGAGAGGAUUGUCCUGCUGUGGUAAACUUAUACUCAUUAAA